rnacentral:rRNA from 1 species
UGGGGAAUAUUGGACAAUGGGCGAAAGCCUGAUCCAGCCAUGCCGCGUGUGUGAAGAAGGUCUUCGGAUUGUAAAGCACUUUUAGUUGGGAGGAAGGGCAGUAAGCGAAUACCUUGCUGUUUUGACGUUACCGACAGAAUAAGCACCGGCUAACUCUGUGCCAGCAGCCGCGGUAAUACAGAGGGUGCAAGCGUUAAUCGGAAUUACUGGGCGUAAAGCGCGCGUAGGUGGUUCGUUAAGUUGAAUGUGAAAGCCCCGGGCUCAACCUGGGAACUGCAUCCAAAACUGGCGAGCUAGAGUAGGGCAGAGGGUGGUGGAAUUUCCUGUGUAGCGGUGAAAUGCGUAGAUAUAGGAAGGAACACCAGUGGCGAAGGCGACCACCUGGGCUCAUACUGACACUGAGGUGCGAAAGAGUGGGGAGCAAACAGG